rnacentral:rRNA from 1 species
AGGAUUCCCCUAGUAACUGCGAGUGAAGCGGGAAAAGCUCAAAUUUAAAAUCUGGCAGUCUUUGGCUGUCCGAGUUGUAUUCUAGAGAAGCGCUUUCCGUGCCGGACCGUGUACAAGUCUCUUGGAACAGAGCGUCAUAGAGGGUGAGAAUCCCGUCUUUGACACGGACUACCGGUGCUUUGUGAUGCGUUUUCAAAGAGUCGAGUUGUUUGGGAAUGCAGCUCAAAAUGGGUGGUAAAUUCCAUCUAAAGCUAAAUAUUGGCGAGAGACCGAUAGCGAACAAGUACCGUGAGGGAAAGAUGAAAAGCACUUUGGAAAGAGAGUUAAACAGUACGUGAAAUUGCUGAAAGGGAAACGCUUGAAGUCAGUCGCGUUGUUCAGAACUCAGCCUGGCUUUUGCUUGGUGCACUUUCUGAAUGACGGGCCAGCAUCAAUUUCGACUGUUGGAUAAAGGCCAGAGAAAUGUGGCUCCUUUGGGAGUGUUAUAGUCUCUGGUUGCAUACAAUGGUUGGGAUUGAGGAACUCAGCAUGCCUUUAUGGUCGGGGUUCGCCCACGUUCAUGCUUAGGAUGCUGGCGUAAUGGCUUUAAACGACCCGUCUUGAAACACGGACCAAGGAGUCUAACAUGCCUGCGAGUGUUUGGGUGGAAAACCCGAGCGCGCAAUGAAAGUGAAAGUUGGGAUCCCUGUCGUGGGGAGCACUGACGCCCGGACCAGACCUUCUGUGACGGAUCCGCGGUAGAGCAUGUAUGUUGGGACCCGAAAGAUGGUGAACUAUGCCUGAAUAGGGUGAAGCCAGAGGAAACUCUGGUGGAGGCUCGUAGCGAUUCUGACGUGCAAAUCGAUCGUCAAAUUUGGGUAUAGGG